rnacentral:rRNA from 1 species
GACGUAGGGCGCGAGCGUGUCCGGAUUUAUUGGGCGUAAAGAGCUCGUAGGCGGCUUGUCGCGUCGUCCGUGAAAACUUGGGGCUCAACCCCAAGCUUGCGGUCGAUACGGGCAGGCUAGAGUUCGGUAGGGGAGACUGGAAUUCCUGGUGUAGCGGUGAAAUGCGCAGAUAUCAGGAGGAACACCGGUGGCGAAGGCGGGUCUCUGGGCCGAUACUGACGCUGAGGAGCGAAAGCGUGGGGAGCGAACAGG